GUCCCCGUAGCUCAGCUGGAUAGAGUAGCCCCCUCCUAAGGGGCAGGUCAGAGGUUCGACUCCUCUCGGGGACGCCA
rnacentral:tRNA from 1 species